GAUGAAGAACGUAGCGAAAUGCGAUAAGUAAUGUGAAUUGCAGAAUUCAGUGAAUCAUCGAAUCUUUGAACGCACAUUGCGCCCGCUAGUAUUCUGGCGGGCAUGCCUGUCCGAGCGUCAUUUCAACCCUCAAGCCCCCGGGCUUGGUGUUGGGGAUCGGCGAGCCUCCGCGCCCGCCGUCCCCUAAAUCUAGUGGCGGUCUCGCUGUAGCUUCCUCUGCGUAGUAGCACACCUCGCACUGGGAAACAGCGCGGCCACGCCGUUAAACACCCAACUUCUGAAAUGUUGACCUCGGAUCAGGUAGGAAUACCCGCUGAACUUAAGCAUAUCAAUAAGCGGAGGA
rnacentral:misc_RNA from 1 species